UACGUAGACCUCAAGCGUUAUCCGGAUUUAUUGGGCGUAAAGCGUGUGUAGGGGGUCUUAAAAGUCAAACGUUAAAUUCCAGGGCCUAACCUUGGAACCGCGCUUGAUACUCUAAGACUUGAGGAUGCUAGAGGUGAACGGAACGCACGGUGUAGGGGUGACAUCCGUUGAUAUCGUGCGGAACACCAAAGGCGAAGGCAGUUCACUGGGGCAUUCCUGACCCUGAGACACGAAAGCGUGGGGAGCAAAAAGG
rnacentral:rRNA from 1 species